CUAGCUUCCCAAAAGUUUCAGGUUCAAAAUAUUGUUGACAAAAGACAAGACAAAAAUGGGAAGACAUAGUAUUUCAUUCAGUGGAAAUGCUAUGACAAACAGGGUGACACAGGGCAACUGGAACAGAACUUCGUAAAUUGUAAGAAAUAUUAUGACUUUAACAGAUGACAGAAAAAUGGAGACAAAGGACAUGGACUGGAAUGAGCAGAAGUUUUUCAAACAAUGCCAGAAAAGGAAUGUUCGGAUCUACCUACAUCAGCUUUUCUAAGAACGUUUCUAAAAUGCUAAUGACUCGCAAACACCACACAUCCAAACACAGCCAGAUGUAUGCUGCUGGCCACAACGUUAGGAUAAAUGCAGCUUUACCUUUCUUUGACCCAAAAAUGUGAAGCUAGGAAGUUAACCCCUCAAGACACUUGCACUUCAGAGCCCAUUUAACAGCAAGAACUCACUGAGUGGCUUUCCGGGACUCGGGAAACUGGACCCUAUUGUGUCACAUCAGCUGGACAUGGUGGUGCACAAGAUGGCAGCAGAGAAGCCCAUCAGAGAUUUGUCAGAUUCCAGUGCAGAAGAGGCUGGAAGAAAGGAUAGGUCCCAGAUACACCCACUAAUGUCUCUGGUGUCUGGCUCAAUUAUCACUUCCAUGGUUACGGGCUCAGUUAACAAGGAAGGUACAUUGGUAUUAACGAAUCCAUUAACAGCCAAUGGAACAAAAAACAUUCAUAUAGCUGUUUGAAGAGGGAGAGAUGGGAAAAUAAAGAUUAUUGAUGAUUGAAAAAAAACAGCCUUUUAUCAAAAGGAUGUACUUUACACUAAGGUUAACAGAAAAUGCCAGCAGAUUCAGAGACAUUGUGGUGAGGAAAGAGAGCUUCACUACCCAGAAAUUACUAUCAACUAGGUUGACAGAGAAUAUCUCACUAAAUACAGAGCGAAUGAAAGAAAUUGAGAAUGCCCUGAAUAGGGUUUCUGUGGAUGACAGCAAAUUUGUGCUCCCUGCUCAGUGCAGCCAGCAGUGUCCUUUGCUGUGGUCUUGAUUUUGUGUGCAUUUAAGAAAUGACAGAAAGAGAGCAAGCAUUGAAAUGGGGGACACCGCAAAGACCUGGCACAUAGUUUUAUUCAGUUUAAGAAACCUAUUUUUGCAUCAGGCAGUAGCACGGUAAUUUGACUAGGUGCAUCCAUAUUGCCUCUUUGUGAUUUGCUUUGGGGCUAACAGAAAGGCUUGGCUUGAAACUUCUUUUAUGACAUUUGGACAGAGUUCAGGUGGCUGUUCUAACAUUGCAUUUCCCAAGAUGCUGGGUGGAGCAUCAGCCAGUGAAAUGUGGUUUGGUGGGAGAAAGCUGACAGCACUGGAUGCAUGUGCCAAGGGCCUGGUCUCUUAUGUGUCUUGGACUGAAAAUUUCACACAAGAGGUUAUGAUCCAAAUUAAAGAGCUUUCCUCUUGUAAUCCAGUUGUUCUGGAGAAAGGUAAGGCCUUUGUUCGCUGUAAAAUUAAAAUGAUGUUGGAACGGGCCAAGGAGAAAGUGUGAAAUGCUGAAAAAAAUUCUGGGCCUCAGCGCAAGGGAUAGAAUCCAUGGUCAAAUAUGUACAAAGAAAAAUUGAUGAGUUCUAA
rnacentral:lncRNA from 1 species